AUUGAACGCUGGCGGCAUGCUUUACACAUGCAAGUCGAACGGUAACAGGGAGCUUGCUCCGCUGACGAGUGGCGAACGGGUGAGUAAUGCAUCGGAACGUGCCGUGUAAUGGGGGAUAACGUAGCGAAAGUUACGCUAAUACCGCAUACGCCCUGAGGGGGAAAGUGGGGGACCGCAAGGCCUCACGUUAUACGAGCGGCCGAUGUCGGAUUAGCUAGUUGGUGGGGUAAAGGCCUACCAAGGCGACGAUCCGUAGCGGGUCUGAGAGGAUGAUCCGCCACACUGGGACUGAGAAACGGCCCAGACUCCUACGGGAGGCAGCAGUGGGGAAUUUUGGACAAUGGGGGCAACCCUGAUCCAGCCAUGCCGCGUGAGUGAAGAAGGCCUUCGGGUUGUAAAGGCC
rnacentral:rRNA from 1 species